AUACAUGCAAGUCGAGCGAAUCGAUGGGAGCUUGCUCCUUGAGAUUAGCGGCGGACGGGUGAGUAACACGUGGGCAACCUGCCCUGCAGAUGGGGAUAACUCCGGGAAACCGGGGCUAAUACCGAAUAAUCAGUUCCUCCGCAUGGAGGAACUCUGAAAGACGGUUUCGGCUGUCACUGCAGGAUGGGCCCGCGGCGCAUUAGCUUGUUGGUGGGGUAACGGCCUACCAAGGCGACGAUGCGUAGCCGACCUGAGAGGGUGAUCGGCCACACUGGGACUGAGACACGGCCCAGACUCCUACGGGAGGCAGCAGUAGGGAAUCUUCCACAAUGGACGAAAGUCUGAUGGAGCAACGCCGCGUGAGCGAAGAAGGUUUUCGGAUCGUAAAGCUCUGUUGUGAGGGAAGAACAAGUACGGGAGUAACUGCCCGUACCUUGACGGUACCUCAUCAGAAAGCCACGGCUAACUACGUGCCAGCAGCCGCGGUAAUACGUAGGUGGCAAGCGUUGUCCGGAAUUAUUGGGCGUAAAGCGCGCGCAGGCGGUCCCUUAAGUCUGAUGUGAAAGCCCACGGCUCAACCGUGGAGGGUCAUUGGAAACUGGGGGACUUGAGUACAGAAGAGGAAAGCGGAAUUCCACGUGUAGCGGUGAAAUGCGUAGAGAUGUGGAGGAACACCAGUGGC
rnacentral:rRNA from 1 species